UACGUAGGGUGCAAGCGUUGUCCGGAAUUAUUGGGCGUAAAGGGCUCGUAGGCGGUCUGUUGCGUCGGGAGUGAAAACUCAGGGCUUAACCCUGAGCCUGCUUCCGAUACGGGCAGACUAGAGGUAUGCAGGGGAGAACGGAAUUCCUGGUGUAGCGGCGAAAUGCGCAGAUAUCAGGAGGAACACCGGUGGCGAAGGCGGUUCUCUGGGCAUUACCUGACGCUGAGGAGCGAAAGUGUGGGGAGCGAACAGG
rnacentral:rRNA from 1 species